rfam:Oryza nivara chromosome 6, whole genome shotgun sequence.
AAAAACUCAAUUCCGGAAUGUUUGUCUCUAACGUUUAACCGUUCAUCUUAUUUAAAAAAAAUUAUAAAAAAAUAUAAAAAUAUAAGUCACACAUAAAGUAUUAUUUAUGUUUUAUCAUCUAAUAAUAAUAAAAAUACUAAUUAUAAAAGAAUUUUAUAUAAGAUGGAUGAUCAAACGUUGGACAUGAAAACCAAGAAUUCAGUCUUU